UUGCUGUUUUGACGUUACCGACAGAAUAAGCACCGGCUAACUCUGUGCCAGCAGCCGCGGUAAUACAGAGGGUGCAAGCGUUAAUCGGAAUUACUGGGCGUAAAGCGCGCGUAGGUGGUUCGUUAAGUUGGAUGUGAAAUCCCCGGGCUCAACCUGGGAACUGCAUCCAAAACUGGCGAGCUAGAGUAGGGCAGAGGGUGGUGGAAUUUCCUGUGUAGCGGUGAAAUGCGUAGAUAUAGGAAGGAACACUGGUCGACGCGGCCG
rnacentral:rRNA from 1 species